rnacentral:rRNA from 1 species
AGCAGCCGCGGUAAUUCCAGCUCCAAUAGCGUAUAUUAAAGUUGUUGCAGUUAAAAAGCUCGUAGUUGAAUUUCGGGGUUAGUAGGUUGGUCAUGCCUCUGGUAUGUACUGGUCUCACUGAUUCCUCCUUCCUGAUGAACCUUAAUGCCAUUAAUUUGGUGUUUUGGGGAAUUUGGACUGUUACUUUGAAAAAAUUAGAGUGUUUAAAGCAAGCUAACGCUUGAAUACAUUAGCAUGGAAUAAUGAAAUAGGACGUUCGAUCCUAUUUUGUUGGUUUCUAGGAUUGACGUAAUGAUUAAUAGGGAUAGUUGGGGGCAUUAGUAUUCAAUUGUCAGAGGUGAAAUUCUUGGAUUUAUUGAGGACUAACUACUGCGAAAGCAUUUGCCAAGGAUGUUUUCAUUAAUCAAGAACGAAAGUUAGGGGAUCGAAGACGAUCAGAUACCGUCGUAGUCUUAACCAUAAACUAUGCCGACUAGGGAUCGGAUGAUGUUAAUUUUUUAAUGACUC